CACACCUCCUCCGUGGACUUUUAUCGGUCACCGGCAGGGUCUUGGGAUGCGGCCGGUUUUCCCGGCCCCUCCCUAAUGUGGCACGCUUGCGGGCUCCCGGCCAGAUGUCAACGUAGUAAAUUUCAAACUCGUUCCCAGCUGUCGAAGGGCCUCGCCUGAUUCAAACUCUUAUG
rnacentral:misc_RNA from 2 species